rnacentral:rRNA from 1 species
UGGGGAAUUUUGGACAAUGGACGAAGCCUGAUCCAGCAAUGCCGCGUGUGUGAAGAAGGCCUUCGGGUUGUAAAGCACUUUUGUCCGGAAAGAAAUCCUUGGCUCUAAUACAGUCGGGGGAUGACGGUACCGGAAGAAUAAGCACCGGCUAACUACGUGCCAGCAGCCGCGGUAAUACGUAGGGUGCAAGCGUUAAUCGGAAUUACUGGGCGUAAAGCGUGCGCAGGCGGUUUGCUAAGACCGAUGUGAAAUCCCGGGGCUCAACCUGGGAACUGCAUUGGUGACUGGCAGGCUAGAGUAUGGCAGAGGGGGGUAGAAUUCCACGUGUAGCAGUGAAAUGCGUAGAGAUGUGGAGGAAUACCGAUGGCGAAGGCAGCCCCCUGGGCCAAUACUGACGCUCAUGCACGAAAGGCGUGGGGGAGCAAACAGGAUUAGAUACCCUGGUAGUCCACGCCCUAAACGAUGUCAACUAGUUGUUGGGGAUUCAUUUCCUUAGUAACGUAGCUAACGCGUGAAGUUGACCGCCUGGGGAGUACGGUCGCAAGAUUAAAACUUAAAGAAUUGACGGGGU